GGUCCUCAACGGAGCCCAGCGACACACCGUUCUCUGUAAGCCGCAGAUCGACAGCUGAGUCCGGGAGUGGAACAUCCACACUCUCCCCUAGUAUCUCACCCCAACUCCCCUUAACAACACAACACAGCCCAGCCCUCCGCUUACUCUCAGCGGUAAACGAACUGCUUCUGGACGGGUUUGGGGGAAAUCUGUGUGCAGGGGUUUUAGACCACCUUGUGUUCCCCUGCAGUAGGGGAGGUCUGAUCUGGUCCACAAGCAGGCAGGACUCUCAACAACUUUCCUCUCCUCUGAUCCCCGAGGAAUGUUCGGGGUGAAAAGACGCAUGUUUGAAUGAACACAAUGGACAGCAACAAGGAUAUAGAGGUUGCCAUGGAAGGAAACGGGUUUCCACCUGCGACAUCGACUCCAUCCCCACCUCCUCCUCCUCCUCCUCCUCCUCCUCCUCCUCCUCCUCCUCCACGUCUGAAAAUAACCAGUGCGGUUGGGGUGACAUCGGCCGUACAAGGACGCCUCUCCGUCUUCAUCGAUCUGUAAAUCCGUCGCUGCAUGUGCAACUCCUGAGCACUGGCAGCCCCUUAUGCCAAACACCCCACGCCUUCCCCUCUCUCCCACUCCCUCCCUUCCUCAUCAUUGACCUGUAAAGCUGAGGCCAGGACCGGCUAGCAGUCACGCUGCAGCGGACCAAAGGUUCUGGGUUCGAGUCCCCAAUGUCUAUACUUAGAGCACCUUAUCCGACAUGGAUGUGGUCCCCACGCAUCAGAGUGUCUGCUGAAUGACUCACUGUAAACCUUGAGGCGGUAGCUGUCGGAGAAGAGGCUUCUGAGUGUAAAACUCAGUACAGUGUCUACUACUAGUGCAUAACAAAUGUAUCGGUGUGUGUUGUGGUUCUCUGUGAAGCUGUAUUUAAGCUUCAUGUCUGAACUUAAGAGCAUCGCGGGACCAGAUCCUGAUGCCAGAAGGAACGCAGGGUUUAAUUGUAUGUUGGGAGAUGGAAGGAUUACUGCUGGAAGCUGUCUGCACGACUGGAACGCCUUGGAAAAUGAGUGUGUUGGGCAGAAUGAGGAACGCGGAGACGGACACCGUAUUUCAGAACACACACAGUGGAAGGACAGAGCAACACACUGCAGCUUUAAGAUGGAAAAGUAACAUAGUUGGCGUUUAUUGUGUUUAAUUAACUGUGUUUAAUUGUGUUUAAUCGUAGGUGUUCCACGUGUUUAACAGUCAGUGUUCUAAUGUGUUCAAUAAUUUGUGUUCAAAAUGUUCAGUGCUCUGUGUUCAUCGUAUUUAAUAGUCUGUAUUUAACAUUUGUAUUAGUCCGUGUUUAUCUUGAUUAUUGAGGGGCUUUGAGGUCUCGUACAUAGAGGUAGGCCGUUAUUUGAGAUGUGUGUGUAGGCCUGGAUAUUCUUUAAACCCUGCUUCAUUAGUUGCUGUAGACAAUUCUUCCAGGACAGACUCCGUUCCUCAGAGAUAUUUUGAACAAUAGAAUCAAUAGAACCCAUUGCAGUGAUACAUCUGCACCAUGAACUAACUCGCUGCCAAUCAACCAACAUUGACCAGAAUUAUUAAUAAUAUAGUGUUUGGAGAGAUGAGGGAGACUAAAUGGACUAAUGGCCCUUUGGGGGAACAGUUGGUAGCUACGUCAACAACAUGUUUC
ensembl:lncRNA